UACGGAGGGAGCUAGCGUUGUUCGGAAUUACUGGGCGUAAAGCGCACGUAGGCGGCUUUUUAAGUCAGGGGUGAAAUCCCGGGGCUCAACCCCGGAACUGCCAUUGAAACUGUUUAGCCGGAGUAUGAGAGAGGUGAGUGGAAUUCCCAGUGUAGAGGUGAAAUUCGUAGAUAUUGGGAAGAACACCGGUGGCGAAGGCGGCUCACUGGCUCAUUACUGACGCUCAUGCGCGACAGCGUGGGGAUCAAACAGG
rnacentral:rRNA from 1 species